GCAGUCGAGCGAGUCUGCCUUGAAGAUCGGAGUGCUUGCACUCUGUGAAACAAGAUACAGGCUAGCGGCGGACGGGUGAGUAACACGUGGGUAACCUGCCCAAGAGAUCGGGAUAACACCUGGAAACAGAUGCUAAUACCGGAUAACAACAGAUGAUGCCUAUCAACUGUUUAAAAGAUGGUUCUGCUAUCACUCUUGGAUGGACCUGCGGUGCAUUAGCUAGUUGGUAGGGUAACGGCCUACCAAGGCGAUGAUGCAUAGCCGAGUUGAGAGACUGAUCGGCCACAUUGGGACUGAGACACGGCCCAAACUCCUACGGGAGGCAGCAGUAGGGAAUCUUCCACAAUGGACGCAAGUCUGAUGGAGCAACGCCGCGUGAGUGAAGAAGGGUUUCGGCUCGUAAAGCUCUGUUGUUGGUGAAGAAGGACAGGGGUAGUAACUGACCUUUGUUUGACGGUAAUCAAUUAGAAAGUCACGGCUAACUACGUGCCAGCAGCCGCGGUAAUACGUAGGUGGCAAGCGUUGUCCGGAUUUAUUGGGCGUAAAGCGAGUGCAGGCGGCUCGAUAAGUCUGAUGUGAAAGCCUUCGGCUCAACCGGAGAAUUGCAUCAGAAACUGUCGAGCUUGAGUACAGAAGAGGAGAGUGGAACUCCAUGUGUAGCGGUGAAAUGCGUAGAUAUAUGGAAGAACACCGGUGGCGAAGGCGGCUCUCUGGUCUGUUACUGACGCUGAGGCUCGAAAGCAUGGGUAGCGAACAGGAUUAGAUACCCUGGUAGUCCAUGCCGUAAACGAUGAGUGCUAAGUGUUGGGAGGUUUCCGCCUCUCAGUGCUGCAGCUAACGCAU
rnacentral:rRNA from 1 species